CCAAAAGAUAAUCUUUCUUCGAAAGAUCUUUUCCAUUGUGCUGGCUUUGACCGUUUGUACUUUUGGGACUUAAACAUGGCUUCUUGUAAGUCGGUCCCAAAAAUAUUAUACCAACCUUAUGAAAUUUGACUGAAGAUUGUAGUCUGAGUAAAAAUAUAAAUUAUUUA
rnacentral:misc_RNA from 1 species